CACAUCCAGCCUGAACAUAAAUGCUGCUAUCUCAUGCCCUGGCCAUGGAAUGCCAGGCACAGGGAGGGCACAAGAAUGUGUCUGUGUGUGGUGAUAGCUGCAGCAGCUGUUUCUUCUUCCUCCAUAGCAUGUGGGUUGCCAGAAAGCCUGAGGGGCCCACCAGCCAAUUUCCAUACUUGGAUCUAGAAGCAUAGAAGUGAAGGAGUGUGUACUUCCAUCAAUAUUUCAACAACCUCUGGCUUUGGAAAUAUCUCAAACAGCCCAUCUCUCCACUUUUUUUGCUGUGCAUAUGUAAAAAAUGGCAUGAUGACUGCUGUUUCAACAGGUGGCUUCUCACUGUAAUGUGCUCCAUGUGCUGCACAGGUCUGCAUUGUGCUCCUGCAGUCGGGCACCUCCGUGAGCAAAGCAAGCUCAGCUCUCACACAAUAAUGUUGACACUGCAACCCAAAAGUCAAAAAUUCGAAGAAACAUUGCCAAGCAAACAGAUCCACACUGGAAACAAAAACCAAACACAGCAGCUGAAAGCUAGAUUCGUUUCACAUGCCUGAGUAAGAACAAACUGAAUCUGUCAGUCAGCAAAGGGCAGCUACGAGGAAUUGUCUCUCAGGAGCUCCACACUCUGCCAUGGAAGAGAAGGUUUUACCUCAGUCAAGCAUGGGAUGCCUAUCCAUUUUCAUAUAUCAUUCCCAGGUAGUAAGAAAAAAUUAAAUCAAUCAUGAGAUUAAUGAUAAAAAGUGAGUGUGUAUCACUUCAUCAUCACUACCUCUCCCAGGUAACAGUGUCUCAUUGAGGAUUAUAGGGAUAGGGUUAUUGCCCCGGAUGAACCUUCUUCACUAUCCUCUGAGGCAUUUCAGUUCUCACUCUUCAAGGCACA